rnacentral:ribozyme from 1 species
GGUUAUGAAUUAGAAGAGGAAAAUAAUGAGAAUGAUAUACCACCACCCAAACCAUUUUUCAUUGGUUUGACAAAACCAAGAUUAGUGGAAAUC